rnacentral:rRNA from 1 species
GAUGAACGCUGGCGGCGUGCCUAAUACAUGCAAGUCGAGCGAACAGACGAGGAGCUUGCUCCUCUGACGUUAGCGGCGGACGGGUGAGUAACACGUGGAUAACCUACCUAUAAUACUGGGAUAACUUCGGGAAACCGGAGCUAAUACCGGAUAAUAUAUUGAACCGCAUGGUUCAAUAGUGAAAGACGGUUUUGCUGUCACUUAUAGAUGGAUCCGCGCCGCAUUAGCUAGUUGGUAAGGUAACGGCUUACCAAGGCAACGAUGCGUAGCCGACCUGAGAGGGUGAUCGGCCACACUGGAACUGAGACACGGACCAGACUACUACGGGAGGCAGCAGUAGGGAAUGUUCCGCAAUGGGCGAAAGCAUGACGGAGCAAAGCCGCGUGAGUGAUGAAGGUCUUCGGAUCGUAAAACUCUGUUAUUAGGGAAGAACAAAUGUGUAAGUAAAUAUGCACGUCUUGACGGUACCUAAUCAGAAAGCCACGGCUAACUACGUG